rnacentral:rRNA from 1 species
AUGUGGGCUAGUGAUCCUACGGAUCGCCGUUCACUUUCUGCUUACUGUGUUUUUCUGGGUGGUUCUCUCAUUGCCUGGAAGACGAAGACACAUACUGCAAUUUCCCGUUCGAGCGCAGAGGCUGAGUUACAAGCUAUGGCUCUUACGACGGCAAAGGUGACUUGGUUACAAUGGUUACUGGAGGAUUUUGGUGUUUCUGUUACUACACCUACCAUCCUCUUGUCAGACAAUACAGAUGCUAUCAGUAUUGCGCGGGAUCCCGUGAAGCAUGAGCUCACCAAGCAUAUUGGUGUUGAUGCUUCUUAUGUGCGAGCUACUGUGCAGGAUCAUGUUAUUGCUCUUCAAUAUGUGCCUUCUGAGUUACAGCUAGCAGACUUUUUCACAAAGGCCCAGACUAGAGCGCAACAUGGAUUUCACCUCUCCAAACUCAGUGUUGUGGAUCCACAAUGA